rnacentral:rRNA from 1 species
CGCGUCAGAAUGUGAACUGCAGGACACAUGAACACCGACAAGUUGAACGCAUAUUGCACAUCGUACAACAGUACGAUGUACACAUUUUUGAGUGCCUAUAUUUACUCAUUUAACUAUACGUGCGCUCGCUCGCGUAUGCGGAGUGACGUUUUCCCGCCUUCAGUGUGCGAUAAAACGUUCAAGAUAGUCAAACACGGGGGCGCUCCCGCUCUCUCGUGGUUGAUGAGUACACCCCACAAGUUGGCAGAGAGUUCGCGUACGCGCAACUCCUGUCCCCCCACUUGCGUGUGCAUCAUCGACACCCACUUGACUCAAUCAAACUCAUGUAGGCCUCAAAUAAUGUGUGAC